rnacentral:lncRNA from 1 species
GUGGUACGUUUACAUCCAAUGACAGGCAUAGAAACAAAACUGGUUCAGACCGGUUUAGUUCUUAUAUUUCAGUGUAUAAACUACAAAAACAUUGGUUUGCAUUAUACAUACGCCAUUUUCCUCUGCAACCGUUGGGUCUGUUAUCUCUGAAAAAGACAAAUUUAAAAGGUUACAUUUUUGUGAGCUUUUUUGUUCAUUUCUUGUCAACAACAUGGGCAAAACAAAGGUAAGAUUUUUAUUUUAUUUCUGAUUUUUUAACCUCUCGUCUGAUAUUCGUGUCGUUAGCUCGGCUUCGUUUUAACGUCUGUGCUCUGGAGGAACGUCAUCAUCCCCAACAAACAGACACUGCUGCCAUGGCGGGUCUGACAGGAGAAACCCGCUCAGACAUCCUCCCACCCGUCGAUGUUUCUUUUAGUCUGGGCAGUAAUUAUAAACCUCUUUCAACCAGUUCAUUAUGAAUCGUAAUCCUCGUAUUAAUAAUUCCACCUCCUGCGGGUAAAAGUUUAAGACUAUUACAGACAUAGACGCUGCGCCGUGCAAAAAUACGCUGCAUCGUCUGUUUCUUCCAUCUUUGACAGCGGGCUGAGAGCUGGGGGGGCGACAGGCUGACAGGCUGCAAACUUAACACACGCUGCAAAUGUGCAUGUAUUAGCUCUGUCUUUUACAAUAAACACUCAUCUCGGACGGUUACAUGUUAUUUCAGGGAACAUAAUGAGGCAUGAUUAGCCUGCAAGUAUGAGGAAGAAACUAGGGAGGGGAUGUGGCAUAUCUCUCUUUUAUUAUUUUUAUUUUUUUAAAUCUCUUUAUUAAAAAAAAGACAGUUUUGUUUGAAGGAGGGUUUACAUUCGUCUGCAAGGAUAAUUUUUACAGUAAAAGUAUGACAUUGCCCUCAUCAGCAGACAUUUCUCAUACUAAUAUUUUUAAAAUAUUGUGUAAUUUUGUUGUUUUUCCUGGUAUGUAUUGAGUACUGCGUGUUGACUUUUCACAUUCCGUUGAAGUGUGUGGUAUCCAUUACUGUUAAAACUGACAUAUUCAAUUAGUCGUGUUAAAUAUAUACGUUCUGUAGAAAUCUUAACGUAUGGUUUGUGAUAACUGAAUCAAAAACGGCCUUUUCUUGGCUGCGAUUAUGGCGGCUACGGCCGAUUAGUUGAGUUGUAAUCUUAUCAGUUUCUUAACAGCUGUCUGUCGGCGCGCGCAGAUCGAAAACAAAGGAAGCUGUCAAGGCGCCAAGCCGCUGUCAUGGUGACAGAACAGCCCCGAUUUGAAUUCAAAAAUGAGCGGGAAGGAAGCUCUUUGUGGCGUUCAGACAUAACUGUGCAUCAGAGGAUCACUGUAGUAUUUCCGUUUGUCUUCAACUGUUUGUUCAAGAUAAUAACGAUUAAAAAAACAGUUAUUGUUCUUCCUAUGAGUUAACAUAUUUCAUACUUAUUGUCAUAUUUUAAUAUAUAUCAAUUUUCUAUUUGUUUUUCAGAAGGCUGUCUCCUCUGAGGUUUGUGAAAAUAAUUUAUUUUAAAAUCAUUUUAAUGUAUUAAAGCCCCCUUUAUUACGAACACAUCAUUAUAGAUAAUUGAGUUGUAAUUGAGAUGUGUUUUUAUGUCACUGUUUAAUUACAAUACCACAUAAAUGUUCCUGUUUUAGUGUCAAUUUCUUUUUUUUCUUUUUUUUUACAAAUAUUUUAUGCUUCGGUUAUUAUAGUUUGUAUUAAUAAGUUAGCAAGUGACUUCAUUCUGCUAUACUUACUGAUUAUAUGUCUUAUAUAUUUAUAUCUCUUCUUCGGUGUGCAAGCGUCAAUGUGCAUGCGGCCUGUUGCGGUUAUUUCAGUCUUUUAGUCUGCUUUUUAACCUAUGCAUACGAUGUUAAUAUUUGUGUUGUGUUGUUUAUAGUGUAAAUACUUGUAUAUUAUCUCUAUAUUCUUACUUAUUUUAUCUUUUUAUCUCUGUGUUUUUACUUAUUUUAUCUAUUUAUCUUUAUAUUUUUACUUAUUUUAUCUAUUUUAUCUAUUAUUUAUCUCCUCUUUUACUGUAUUUGCCUUGGAGUACUGUAACAAAAGCAAUUUCCCUCUGGGCAUUAUUAAUGUAUUUCUGAUUCUGAUAUUCUGUCCCAACAGACUGUAAGGAAAUCCGCCCGACUGGCACUGGUAAGCUUCCUGGAAACAAAACACUGUUUAUUUUGAUUGAGUUAUUCUUAGUACUUAUUCAGAAAACAGAUUCUUCCAAAUAAAAGACCUCCCUUGAGAUUAUUGAAACCCCAAGUUGAACAUUUUCAGAAAUGAUUUUUGUACGAAAUAAGAUAAUCUUCACCAGUGGGCUUUUUAAAAACUUCUCUUUCCAUUAUGCAUUUGAUGACCGUUAAAAGCAAGAUCGCUGUUAAAGAUCGUCAAUAGCCAAUAAUAUUAAAUAUGUGAUUAUAAUCGUCUUCCUCCUUGUUUUGCAGAAACCACAACCCCUACCAGUGGAGAAGAAAAAGGCGGUUGCAAAAGUAUGAAACACUUUGACAGCGCUCGCUGUCCCUCUGUGCUGUGUCGCAUGUGAAACUGAUUCCUCUAAGGGAAAUUAAGCUUGACCCAGUUUCUGGAUGGGGGGGAAAAAAAAAAAAACUUCAGAUGUUUUGGUCACAUGAUUCUUUUGGUUACACUAAGACAUGUGACAUACGUUUGUAAUCAAGUGUAAUGUCAUUUGCAGAAGGGACCCAAAGCGAAGAAGGGCAAAGCAGCUGAAAGUGAGAACGCCAAGGCUGAGGUUUGUUUCUUGCCAUGAGAAAAAACUACUACUACAACACAUAUUUUAAACUUUUUUAUUUUUUAGUUGAGCAUGAUAUGUAGGCAGAUUUUCUCAUAAAAUAUCUGAGCUAAUGACUUAAAAAAGUGUAUUGUUUAAGUGCUUGCAUUGCAGUUACAGUAUAAUAGUGUGAGAAGCGAUUCACCUAUUACAAUAAAUUCCGACCUUACACUGCAUAGAGAGAUGGACCACUCCCUGAAGGUAAAGCCAAAACCUCCAAAGCUCCCCCUGGUGGUUGGCUGUGGUCUAGGUCAUUUAUCUGCUUCCUCCAUUAUAAUAGAUUGGAACAUAAACCAAACUAGAACUUUGAAAUACAUAAACAUACAUUUCUGAUACGUGCUCCACCGCGUCUUUUUUGGCUUCACUUUUGUAAAAUGAGGGGGAAAUGGAGGUUCCCCCUACAUAUUUAUAGUAUUAGUGCAAGAGCUUAUUGAAAUUACGAAGGAUUAGAAAGCGUUUAAGUAACGGUCUCAAUUAGGAUUAGAAGGGCUCUUAAAAGAUACUGACCGAAUGACUACUGUACAUACCUACACAACAAAGACACUAGACUAAGGCUAUGUUCACACUGCUCACUACAUAUCCGAUAUAUAACCACAUACAAUAGAGGCCUGGGUCGGAUUUGAAAACAUCAGAAUUGCACUGUUCACACUUACAUGAAAAAAUCAGAUAUGUGUCACAUCUCAUGAUUGUAAUGUGUUGCUUUAUUUUCUUCCCCUCAGGACACAAAGGCUGAGACGACCGAAGCCAAAUGAACAAGGGUUGAUCUGUCACUCUGUGUACUUGGUGAUUGUACAGUUUUAAAUAAGUAUUUUUUACCAAGUUUUAUAUUACAAAAAUGUCAUUUAUAGGUUUGUUUUGGGCUUGCACUCGGUGUAACAAAACUUUGUCACAUUCAUAUCCACUUUAAAAGAAUUACCGUCCAUAUCUUGUAGACGUGGCAUUUUUAGUUUGUCUAAUUCAGUUUUUUUUAUUUUAACUGCUGAGUAAUAGAUAUUUUUGACAAGCCUUUUUCUGAAUCUAAUUUUAAGCAUUAUAAGGCAGCUAAAACAUUUUUGUUAAAAUUGAAGGAGAGUAGGAUUUGUCUGGUCUCUCCUUGAAUUUUAAUGUUGAUUAAAUGAAAAAAAAAAAAAAAGAUUGCUUACCAAAUGUUUUGAAACACUGUAUGUUAACAUGAGAUCUAGUCGUUGAAUAUGCCACAGAAAAAUACUGUUAUUAGGUGAAACGUUUGACAUAUCCCAAAAACAUGUAUGUUGUGAACCCGGUCAUCUGAUGAAACGUUAUCUUAAGUUAUGUUUCUGUUUGGAGAGGAAGCUUUUCUGAUUCAAUGGUUGAUCUAAAUGUUCUUAAAUAAAAUUUUGUAAAUGUCUGAGUA